AGAUUAAAAUAUGCCAUAAGUCCUUAUACACUUCAUAAACUUGGAAUUUAGUCCUAUACUUUUAUUUCUAGGAAUUUAAUUCAUCUACCUUUCAAAUUUCAAAUUUCAAGUAUUUUGUUAAAUUUAGGUUCAUUACAACAUCAUUUUUUAGUUACAUUGCUACCAAGUUAGCACUUUUAUUAUUUCAAAAGGCCACACCAAUAAAUUUAACAAAAAAAAUUUACAAUUUUAAUAAUUAGAUUUGAAUUUUGAAAUUUGAAAAGUAUAGGGUCUAAAUUCCUGGGAAUAAAAAUAUAUGGACUAAAUUACAAAUCAUGAAGAGUAUAGGGACUUAUGGCAUAAUUUAACAU
rnacentral:pre_miRNA from 1 species